rnacentral:rRNA from 1 species
UGGGGAAUAUUGGACAAUGGGCGAAAGCCUGAUCCAGCAAUGCCGCGUGAGUGAUGAAGGCCUUAGGGUUGUAAAGCUCUUUUACCCGGGAUGAUAAUGACAGUACCGGGAGAAUAAGCUCCGGCUAACUCCGUGCCAGCAGCCGCGGUAAUACGGAGGGAGCUAGCGUUGUUCGGAAUUACUGGGCGUAAAGCGCGCGUAGGCGGCUUUGUAAGUUAGAGGUGAAAGCCCGGGGCUCAACCCCGGAAUUGCCUUUAAGACUGCAUCGCUUGAAUCCGGGAGAGGUGAGUGGAAUUCCGAGUGUAGAGGUGAAAUUCGUAGAUAUUCGGAAGAACACCAGUGGCGAAGGCGGCUCACUGGACCGGCAUUGACGCUGAGGUGCGAAAGCGUGGGGAGCAAACA